rnacentral:tmRNA from 1 species
GGGGAUGAUUGAUUCGACGAGAACUGUACAUUUACAAACCGCAAGCCGACAUUGAUUCAUUGUCGUUAAACAGAAUCAAACAAUACAAGCAAAUAAAUCGCUUGAACAGCGAUUAGCUGCGGCUGAAAAGUUGCUCGCGCAAUUUAAGGCCAAUGCUUUCGCUUCUCGACAACCCGCUUUGCUUUACGCAUAAGGGUCAAGAGCAUUCAUGCUAUUUCUCAUCCGGUGGAAAUACAUGGGUGGAAAAACAGCCGGAUCAUCAGGUUUGAUGAGGUAACCGCUUUCUCGCNNNNNNNNNCGGCGACAUAAAGAGGAAUCAUUUGUAAGCUUGUUUACCCUCCGAAUCGGAGGGUUUAAAACGGUUGUAGAUUACAUUCUUGGACGGGAGUUCACUACUCCCCAUCUCCACCG